ACUAAUGGGCCUCGUUUUGGGCCUACUCUUUUCAGUGAAAAAGCAAAAGGGCCUCUGUAGAAAUCCAUGUUUACUUCCCACUAGGAAUGUGAAUGGAGCUGGGUUUCCCCCCCGACUCUUCCUCCUUUUUUUUUCUUUUUUUUUCUUUUUUUUUGGUGUGGUAUAAGUCCAUGGAGUAUGCUGGGUUUUUGAGUUAUUAAGCGAAUGGUGUUGGUAAUAAACAAAGUGAGGAGGCAAAGAAAAGGUAUAUAGCUUCCAGUUGUUGUAAAUGAUUUACUGAAAUUGGAGAUGGCUACUUUUACUAAAUGACUGCACAUCUUCCCAUCCCCAGAUGGACUACGCUCUUCUGAAAAAUCGGAAGUAGUAAGAUCGCGCAGUAGCUGAAAACUGAAACUACCUUGCGCCGGCCCAUCGAGAGACACUACAAGGAUGAAGGCCCACUAGGAGAGGCCAAAAUAUGAGAAAGCCCCAUCAUAAUGAAGGCCCACUAAGGCUCAGGCUUUAUUUGGAAUUGCACGAAGAUCCCAUUAUGCGCAGUGAGAAAGUACAAUGGAAUAAUAUCUUAUUUUGUUUUCUGUACAUUGCAAUAAGUUUGUUAUGAUAUAUUUUCUGUAUUUUUAUUGAAAAAUGCAAAAGCAUAUCCUUAUUUUAUAU